UACAGAGGUCCCGAGCGUUGUUCGGAUUCAUUGGGCGUAAAGGGUGCGUAGGCGGCGGGGCAAGUCUGAUGUGAAAUCCUGGGGCUCAACCCCGGAACUGCAUUGGAUACUGCCUUGCUCGAGUACUGGAGAGGGAACUGGAAUUUACGGUGUAGCAGUGAAAUGCGUAGAGAUCGUAAGGAAGGCCAGUGGCGAAGGCGAGUUCCUGGACAGUUACUGACGCUGAGGCACGAAGGCCAGGGGAGCAAACGGG
rnacentral:rRNA from 1 species